rnacentral:rRNA from 1 species
UGCAGCGACGCCGCGUGAGGGAUGACGGCCUAAGGGUUGUAAACCUCUUUCAGUAGGGAAGAAGCGAAAGUGACGGUACCUGCAGAAGAAGCACCGGCUAACUACGUGCCAGCAGCCGCGGUAAUACGUAGGGUGCGAGCGUUAUCCGGAAUUAUUGGGCGUAAAGAGCUCGUAGGCGGUUUGUCGCGUCUGUCGUGAAAGUCCGGGGCUUAACCCCGGAUCUGCGGUGGGUACGGGCAGACUAGAGUGCAGUAGGGGAGACUGGAAUUCCUGGUGUAGCGGUGGAAUGCGCAGAUAUCAGGAGGAACACCGAUGGCGAAGGCAGGUCUCUGGGCUGUAACUGACGCUGAGGAGCGAAAGCAUGGGGAGCGAACAGGAUUAGAUACCCUGGUAGUCCAUGCCGUAAACGUUGGGCACUAGGUGUGGGGACCAUUCCACGGUUUCCGCGCCGCAGCUAACGCAUUAAGUGCCCCGCCUGGGGAGUACGGCCGCAAGGCUAAAACUCAAAGGAAUUGACGGGGGCCCGCACAAGCGGCGGAGCAUGCGGAUUAAUUCGAUGCAACGCGAAGAACCUUACCAAGGCUUGACAUGUUCUCGAUCGCCGUAGAGAUACGGUUUCCCCUUUGG